GAGUUUGAUCUUGGCUCAGAACGAACGCUGGCGGCAGGCCUAAAAACAUGCAAGUCGAGCGCCCAGCAAUGGGAGCGGCGGACGGGUGAGUAACACGUGGGAAUGUACCUUUCGGUUCGGAACAACCCAGGGAAACUUGGGCUAAUACUGGAUACGCCCUUACGGGGAAAGAUUUAUCGCCGAAAGAUCAGCCCGCGUUGGAUUAGCUAGUUGGUGAGGUAACGGCCCACCAAGGCGACGAUCCAUAGCUGGUUUGAGAGAACGACCAGCCACACUGGGACUGAGACACGGCCCAGACUCCUACGGGAGGCAGCAGUUGGGAAUCUUGGACAAUGGGGGAAACCCUGAUCCAGCCAUGCCGCGUGAGUGAUGAAGGCCUUC
rnacentral:rRNA from 1 species